UACGAAGGGGGCUAGCGUUGUUCGGAAUCACGGGGCGUAAAGCGCAUGCAGGCGGAUCGUUAAGUCGGGGGUGAAAGCCCGAGGCUCAACCUCGGAACUGCCUUCGAUACUGGCGAUCUUGAGUCCGGGAGAGGUGAGUGGAACUCCGAGUGUAGAGGUGAAAUUCGUAGAUAUUCGGAAGAACACCAGUGGCGAAGGCGGCUCACUGGCCCGGUACUGACGCUGAGAUGCGAAAGCGUGGGGAGCAAACAGG
rnacentral:rRNA from 1 species